ACGGAGCCCUUGGCAGAAGAACGGUAACAGCAAUGAGCUGAGGUUGGGGGAUCAGUUAAAGGAGAGGAGAAAUAAGUACUGAGUUGCAGGCUAGUUGCCAGAGACGACAGGCAUGCGGGAAGCAUUUGGGGAGCGGAACCAAGGAGCGAGGCCGCGUGCACGGGGAGCAGGAUAAGCCGCAGCACUGAGAGGGGAGGAGGAGACACCAACACCCAAUAACGCGGGGACGCUAGAUCCAUCCGCCAUAGAAGCUUGACACUUCAACUUCUGCCAGGUGGAGCAGGAUGCUCAAUGCCGUCUCACCAUGUGCGGGCACAGCUCACCACAGCACACAGCUGCCUAUGGAGCAGAGGAGGCUAACUCUGUGUUACGUCCCACACAAAGGCAGGCAGUAGGAGACAACUCCAGGGUCGCAAGAAAAUUUUAUGAGUUUGUUUUGCAGAAGGAAUGGAUGCCCCUGAAAAAGCUGUGACUAGCUGCUGACGCCCAGAAGUCUGGUUACUCAAAGCAUUAUCUGAGACUAAAAACAACACAGACAUCCCUCUACCUUAUCCCAACCCCACAUACAAGCUUGAUGCCACAUCUCUGUGAGAAGAUCUGAGAGACUUUUUCUCUUGCUUUGGCUGAAUAGAAUCAACAUUUCUCUAGCUCCAAGCACCGGCAUCAAAACAUUUAUCUUUAGCUGCACACUGGGUACACGAGCCUGAAUUUAGGGUUCUACAACAUUUUCAAAACAGGCUUGAGACCCAUGAGAAGGGCAUCAAAAAAAA